GGCGUGGUCGGAUGAUUACGCUUUCCGCUUUGUAGGCGGAUGAUCAUGGGUUCGAUUCCCAUCUGCUCCA
rnacentral:tRNA from 1 species